AUGAAAUCAAUGAGAUCUUUUUCCUUUGGGAUGAUAAAUUGUCAAGUCCUUGAAAAGAAUCCCACUGAAAACAUGCCCUCUGAGCAUCAAAGCAUGCGGAGCAGGGGCACAGUGCUGUGCUGCAGGCUGGCUGGAGAACAGAAAGGAGACAAACGAGCUGGGGGAACGCGUGGGGAUGGGGAAGGGGUCAUCAAUACAGCCUGGGCGACGCUGACUCUGCAAGCUAAAACAGGAGCAGCAAGCAGGAAACGAAUCCACUUGGUUACUGGAGUGAGAGGCUUGGAGUCUGAAUUCAGCAGUGAUCUAGUGAGUAAGUAGACAGCGUUUAAAGAUGGCAAUUACUUUGAUGGCCUUAUCUGUUCUUUGAAGUCAAAGAGCCACUCCCUGCCCUGUAUACACGUGAUAAGCCCAAUCAGAUUCCACAUAUCUUCUCUGCAAAAAUAUGGGGUUGAGUUGACUCAGCUGGGACUGGAGCCUGUGACUCCGAGUGUGGGUGUGCUGUGCUUUUCCCACAUGCAUGCUGAGGGGCUAGCCUUGGCAUGGUGCAGCCAGGAUGGCAUCAGGAUGAGGGGCUGUCCAGCAUGCACAGGCUGGGCUUUGCUGAAUUGCCAGAGCAGGCAACAUCCCCCCUGCCCAGCUGCUGCUAGCCCUCCCUGGCAGUGCAAAAACUGAUGCCAGCUGUGCAGUGAUCUCUAUGCAGACCAAAAGGUGGUCAGUGACUCAGGAGGAUGUUUCUUCAGCAUGACUUCAGAUAUCAUGCAUGGCUUUCAGGUGCCUGUCCUGCAGUAGGACUUUGACCUCGAGCUGUGGGGAGUCCACGUCUGGCUCAGGGUGAUUCAGUGUCGGGCCGUUCCAUGUGGCAUUCCUGCAGACUGUAUGUGGGAGACAGAGCUGGGCUGCAGUGAGGCAGCUAGAAAUAUCAGGGGCAACAAAGCAGAGCAAAAUUAGUUACAAAGCACCUAAAAAUUUUUCCUCCCUCCCCCUCACAUUUUUAACAAGAUUCUUUUACCACUAGGAAUUCCAUCCUAGAGAAAGCUGGCAAAGGUCUGAGAGGCAGAGAACACCUCCACUGCCCUGGGGAAGGAGCAAGGAGAGAUGUUACUGUGAAAGGAAGGCCAGCAAGAAAUUGCCUUGUCAUCUGAAUUGAUUAAGUGUUUUAAUGCAUUGGUUAAUGUAGCAACAGUGCUUUUUGAUAGCCACAGCUUGUUAAGGAACAGCACAUGGAGUGAUCCAUCAGCUUAUGCAGAGGUAGCUUUGAAUCAGUAAGCAUGUCAUGCUAAGCUUGCUGUGGCAGUGCUUGAUCCUACAUUAAAUGAUU
rnacentral:lncRNA from 1 species